AGGGGCAGCGGGGAUGAGAGCUUGCUCUUAUCCGCCGGCGACCGGCGCACGGGUGAGUAACACGUAUGCAACCUACCCCCUACAGGGGAAUAAUCGGCGGAAACGCCGUCUAAUACCGCAUAUACGCCAUAGAGGCAUCUCUUAGGCGAGAAAGAAUUUCGGUAGGGGAUGGGCAUGCGGCGCAUUAGGUGGUUGGCGGGGUAACGGCCCACCAAGCCGACGAUGCGUAGGGGUUCUGAGAGGAAGGUCCCCCACACUGGUACUGAGACACGGACCAGACUCCUACGGGAGGCAGCAGUGAGGAAUAUUGGUCAAUGGGCGAUAGCCUGAACCAGCCAAGUCGCGUGAGGGAAGACGGCCCUAUGGGUUGUAAACCUCUUUUGUCGGGGAGCAAGGUCGCUACGUGUAGCGAUUUGAGAGUACCCGAAGAAAAAGCAUCGGCUAACUCCGUGCCAGCAGCCGCGGUAAUACGGAGGAUGCGAGCGUUAUCCGGAUUUAUUGGGUUUAAAGGGUGCGUAGGCGGGAGAUCAAGUCAGCGCUAAAAAUGCGGGGCCCAACCCCGUCGAGCCGCCCCAACUGGUUUUCUUGAGUGGGCGAGAGGUAUGCGGAAUGCGUGGUGUAGCGGUGAAAUGCAUAG
rnacentral:rRNA from 1 species